GAUGAACGCUGGCGGCGUGCCUAAUACAUGCAAGUCGAGCGAAUGGAUUAAGAGCUUGCUCUUAUGAAGUUAGCGGCGGACGGGUGAGUAACACGUGGGUAACCUGCCCAUAAGACUGGGAUAACUCCGGGAAACCGGGGCUAAUACCGGAUAACAUUUUGAAACGCAUGGUUCGAAAUUGAAAGGCGGCUUCGGCUGUCACUUCUGGAUGGACCCGCGUCGCAUUAGCUAGUUGGUGGGGUAACGGCUCACAAAGGGAACGAUGCGAGCCGACCUGAGAGGGUGAUCGGCCACGCUGGGACUGAGCCACGGCCCAGACUCCUACGGGAGGCAGCAGUAGGGAAUCUUCCGCAAUGGACGAAAGUCUGACGGAGCAACGCCGCGUGAGUGAUGAAGGCUUUCGGGUCGUAAAACUCUGUUGUUAGGGAAGAACAAGUGCUAGUUGAAUAAGCUGACACCUUGACGGUACCUAACCAGAAAGCCACGGCUAACUACGUGCCAGCCGCCGCCGUAA
rnacentral:rRNA from 1 species